GCCUGGGUGGCUCAGUUGGUUGAGCAUCUGACUUCAGCUCAGGUCACGAUCUUACAGUUCAUGAAUUCAAACCCCACAUCAGGCU
rnacentral:tRNA from 1 species